GAUGAACGCUGGCGGCGUGCCUAAUACAUGCAAGUCGAGCGAACGGACGAGAAGCUUGCUUCUCUGAUGUUAGCGGCGGACGGGUGAGUAACACGUGGAUAACCUACCUAUAAGACUGGGAUAACUUCGGGAAACCGGAGCUAAUACCGGAUACUAUUUUUAACCGCAUGGUUCAAAAGUGAAAGACGGUCUUGCUGUCACUUAUAGAUGGAUCCGCGCUGCAUUAGCUAGUUGGUAAGGUAACGGCUUACCAAGGCAACGAUGCAUAGCCGACCUGAGAGGGUGAUCGGCCACACUGGAACUGAGACACGGUCCAGACUCCUACGGGAGGCAGCAGUAGGGAAUCUUCCGCAAUGGGCGAAAGCCUGACGGAGCAACGCCGCGUGAGUGAUGAAGGUCUUCGGAUCGUAAAACUCUGUUAUUAGGGAAGAACAUAUGUGUAAGUAACUGUGCACAUCUUGACGGUACCUAAUCAGAAAGCCACGGCUAACUACGUG
rnacentral:rRNA from 1 species